CUGUCUGGCCAUACCAUCCUGAACGUGCCCGAUCUCAUCUGAUCUUGUAAGCUAAGCAGGGUUGAGCCUGGUUGGUACUUGGAUGGGAGAAUGUAGGUACUCCCACUUGUUUACAUAGC
rnacentral:rRNA from 1 species